UGAGUACGAGAUGCUACGGCAUCGAAGCAGUCUAUGUCAUACUUCCAAGAAAAGCUUGCACUGUCAUAAACGAAAAAUGCCUGUACCAUAACCGACACAGGUGGGUAGGUAGAGUAUACUAAGGGGCGCGAGAUAACUCUCUCUAAGGAACUCGGCAAAAUGACUCCGUAACUUCGGGAGAAGGAGUGCCUUAUUUAUAAGGUUGCAAUAACAAGAUCCAAGCAACUGUUUACCAAAAACACAGGUCUCCGCGAAGUCGUAAGACGAUGUAUGGGGGCUGACGCCUGCCCAGUGCCAGAAGGUUAAAGAAGUUGGUUAGCAUUCGCGAAGCUGAUAACUGAAGCCCUGGUGAACGGCGGCCGUAACAAUAACGGUCCUAAGGUAGCGAAAUUCCUUGUUCGGGUAAGUUCCGACCUGCACGAAUGGUGCAACGAUCUGGGCACUGUCUCAACCACGAGUUCGGUGAAAUUGUGGUACCGGUGAAGACGCCGGUUACCCGCACUAGGACGGAAAGACCCCGUGAACCUUUACUAUAGUUUACUAUUGGGUUUGGCUAUAAUAUGCGUAGGAUAGGUGGGAGGCUUUGAAGCAGGCGUUGUGGCGCUUGUGGAGCCAACGGUGAAAUACCACCCUUGUUAUGGUUGGAUUCUAACCCGGCGUUGUGGAAACGCGGGGACAGUGGUAGAUGGGUAGUUUGACUGGGGCGGUCGCCUCCAAAAUAGUAACGGAGGCUUACAAAGGUUCUCUCAGCAUGGUCGGUAAUCAUGCGUAGAGUAUAAAAGUAUAAGAGAGCUUUACUGCGAGGCAUACAGGUCGAGCAGUUGCGAAAGCAGGUUUUAGUGAUCCGGCGGCUCCGAGUGGAAGGGCCGUCGCUCAAAGGAUAAAAGGUACUCCGGGGAUAACAGGCUGAUCAUGCCCAAGAGUUCACAUCGACGGCAAGGUUUGGCACCUCGAUGUCGGCUCAUCGCAUCCUGGGGCUGGAGAAGGUCCCAAGGGUUUGGCUGUUCGCCAAUUAAAGCGGUACGCGAGCUGGGUUCAGAACGUCGUGAGACAGUUCGGUCCCUAUCCAGUGCGGGCGUUAGAAAUUUGAGGGGACCCGAUCUUAGUACGAGAGGACCGGAUUGCCCAUACCUACAGUGUAUCUGUUGUCGCACCAACGGCAUUGCAGAGUAGCUACGUAUGGAAAGGAUAAGUGCUGAAAGCAUCUCAAGCACGAAACCUACCCCAAGAUGAGAUUUCUUUAAGAUUCCAAGUAGAUGACUUGGUUGAUAGGCUUCAGGUGUAACCGUGGUAACACGUUCAGCCGAGAAGUACUAGUAAAUU
rnacentral:rRNA from 1 species